AAUGGGCGAAAGCCUGACGGAGCAACGCCGCGUGAGGGAUGAAAGCCUCUGGGCUGUAAACCUCUUUUAUCAAGGAAGAAGAUCUGACGGUACUUGAUGAAUAAGCCACGGCUAAUUCCGUGCCAGCAGCCGCGGUAAUACGGGAGUGGCAAGCGUUAUCCGGAAUUAUUGGGCGUAAAGCGUCCGCAGGCGGCCCUUCAAGUCUGCUGUUAAAAAGUGGAGCUUAACUCCAUCAUGGCAGUGGAAACUGUUGGGCUUGAGUGUGGUAGGGGCAGAGGGAAUUCCCGGUGUAGCGGUGAAAUGCGUAGAUAUCGGGAAGAACACCAGUGGCGAAGGCGCUCUGCUGGGCCAUCACUGACGCUCAUGGACGAAAGCCAGGGGAGCGAAAGGGAUU
rnacentral:rRNA from 1 species